rnacentral:rRNA from 1 species
AUAUCAAUAAGCGGAGGAAAAGAAACCAACAGGGAUUGCCCUAGUAACGGCGAGUGAAGCGGCAACAGCUCAAAUUUGAAAUCUGGCUCUUUCAGAGUCCGAGUUGUAAUUUGCAGAGGGCGCUUUGGCUUUGGCAGCGGUCCAAGUUCCUUGGAACAGGACGUCACAGAGGGUGAGAAUCCCGUACGUGGUCGCUAGCUAUUGCCGUGUAAAGCCCCUUCGACGAGUCGAGUUGUUUGGGAAUGCAGCUCUAAAUGGGAGGUAAAUUUCUUCUAAAGCUAAAUAUUGGCCAGAGACCGAUAGCGCACAAGUAGAGUGAUCGAAAGAUGAAAAGCACUUUGGAAAGAGAGUCAAACAGCACGUGAAAUUGUUGAAAGGGAAGCGCUUGCAGCCAGACUUGCUUGCAGUUGCUCAUCCGGGCUUUUGCCCGGUGCACUCUUCUGUAGGCAGGCCAGCAUCAGUUUGGGCGGUGGGAUAAAGGUCUCUGACACGUUCCUUCCUUCGGGUUGGCCAUAUAGGGGAGACGACAUACCACCAGCCUGGACUGAGGUCCGCGCAUCUGCUAGGAUGCUGGCGUAAUGGCUGUAAGCGGCCCGUCUU